rnacentral:rRNA from 1 species
UACUAAGGGGGCUAGCGUUGUUCGGAAUCACUGGGCGUAAAGCGCACGUAGGCGGAUUUGUUAGUCAGGGGUGAAAUCCCGGGGCUCAACCUCGGAACUGCCUUUGAUACUGCAGAUCUCGAGUCCGGAAGAGGUGAGUGGAAUUCCUAGUGUAGAGGUGAAAUUCGUAGAUAUUAGGAAGAACACCAGUGGCGAAGGCGGCUCACUGGUCCGUUGCUGACGCUGAGGUGCGAAAGCGUGGGGAGCAAACAGG